rnacentral:rRNA from 1 species
AUCAAAUUCUCAACGAUGGAUAUCUUGGUUCCCAUAACGAUGAAGAACGCAGCGAAGUGCGAUAAGCAGUGCGAAUUGCAGAACCGUGAGUCAUCAGAUCUUUGAACGCAAAUGGCGCUAGUUGGUUACCCAGCUAGCAUGCUUGUUUCAGUG